GCAGACAGAAGAGGAGCGUUACCCAGGUAUCGAUGAUUGCGGGGCCCCACCCCAAAGCAAUCUUGAGAGGGGGAGUAACGCCGAGAUAUGGCAUGACAGGGGGCAUGGCAUAUCGGCUUUGGAGGUUGAAUCCUUCUGGCUGUCACCUUCCAACCUAUGGUACAGGAAGGUGAGGAGCUUCUGGUUGU
rnacentral:ncRNA from 1 species